AUUGAACGCUGGCGGCAGGCCUAACACAUGCAAGUCGAACGAGUGGCGGACGGGUGAGUAAUGUCUGGGAAACUGCCUGAUGGAGGGGGAUAACUACUGGAAACGGUAGCUAAUACCGCAUACCAUCGGAUGUGCCCAGAUGGGAUUAGCGAGUAGGUGGGGUAACGGCGCACCUGGGAGACGAUCCCUAGCUGGUCUGAGAGGAUGACCAGCCACACUGGAACGGUGACAUGGUCCAGACUCGUACGGUAGGCAGCAGUGGGGAAUAUUGCACAAUUGUCGCAAGCCUGAUGCAGCCAUGCCGCGUGUAUGAAGAAGGCCUUCGGGUUGUAAAGUACUUUCAGCGGGGAGGCGUUACCCGAAGAAGAAGCACCGGCUAACUCCGUGCCAGCCGCCGCGGUAAUAC
rnacentral:rRNA from 1 species